rnacentral:lncRNA from 1 species
UGUCAAUCAGGGACGACGAGUGUGAAUUGACGAUAAAUUAAAAGGGUGUAUUAAUUUAUCAAUUUUUGAUUAGAUCAAAAAAUAUUUCACGACGUUAGGCAUCGUGGUCAGGAACCUAAUGGGUCGCACACAAAAGAGAAUUGGAAGAUUGCAAAUUGUCAAUUGGUUAAUUUAACAAUCGUUGGAGAAAUUAAUUAAUUGAAUUUGUUAUUUAUAAUCC